UUUUCAGAACAAAUUUCAUUUUAUCAAGUCACUUUCAAGUGGGUGGACAGAGGUAUUUUGGGCUUUUUUACAGCGUUCAUGCAUCCCACUCACCCUGGCAAUCAAAAUUCCCCUGUGCAAGGUGUAAUACUACAAGAGGAACAAUGUUCUUCUGUAACAAUACUGCAUACCUCAGGGGUAACAUGACUUCAGCAUAAUUUGGGAAUGGUUCAGUAGUUACUGCUGGAGAGAUGUGCCCGAGUGCUCAGGAGGAAGGAGCAGCAAAGGCUCAGCUGUGUCAUGGUUAGCAAUACGGAACAUUCACAUCCACAUAGCACUUAACCUCAUACAGGCACAAGUUCUAGCUGAUAGCACUGUAGGCAUCACUGUAGCUGGUGAAAAAACGUAACGCAGGAAGUGUACACAGCAUCACUUGCACAUCUGUUAUCUCAGGUACUAUACUGAUACUUUGCACUGCACAGUUGUGAAGCCUAGAACCUAUGGAAGUACUCAUCCUACUGUGGUAAAGGGCUAGCUUUUAAGCCCUGAAAGCACUCAGUUGUCCCAAAUCAUAAAAUAUUGAAUGUCAGAAUAUAGAGUAUCCAGGGGCUUUAGAGAAGACUUACAGACCUCCUAAGCUUAAUAAAACUUGCUGUAUAAGCUGCCAGACUCAUGGAAACAUAUCACACUUCUAUAAAUUAGGUUUUAUUCAAAAACCAUCAUUUUCCAAUAAAAACUUGUCAUUCCCUCUUUCACAGAAAAGAAGUUUCCCCCUAAAAAAUGAGCAAACUUACGCUGGAGGUUUAAACCAGGUAACAGGCCAUGGGGAAGGAAAGUCAUACUCAAACACAAGAAAACACUGAACUUCAAGAAGUGCAACAGGGCAGGGAAGAAUGGAGAAAGCAGCCAGGGGCUGGUCAGAUGUACACCUUUUCAUUCACAAGAAGGUGACAGAGAGAAGUCUGAAGGAAGAUUGGUGAAAUAUGUUCCUGUCAUGUCACGCACUUUCAGCUUGAAACUGCUCUUUUGACACUGUAUUAUAAAAUUUCAAGGAUUGCACAUAAGGCUUCUUCCCCUUUUGUUUAGUAAAUCCUUAAAAGCCUGAUUUUUGUGUAGAGACUCGUUUUCAUUUAAGGAAAAAAUUACCAGGAGCUGUAAACUGCAAGGGAAGCUAGGGGCAGUUCAACAAAACUUGGUGUAAAGCCAUGCACUGAGAACGUUAUCAUGUUCAAAGCUUUGACCCUGGGAGCCAGCACUGCCCAGAAUGAACAACAUAUUACCACACAAAGAUCUGUUCCCCUUGUCCUCUAACCACGUACUUCUUGCCUCAUUUCUUUUUCUGCCCUUCCAAGAGUUUUUGUAUGGAUGUUGCUGUGUGAUUCUGAUGGACCGACUUAGGCGAAGUCCAACGAACACUGCAGUUCUGCACUCUUAUAUGUACUUCAAAGUUUGCUUCAGCUGUGGGAUGAUCACAGGUGCUGCCUUUUCCCAAGGUCUGCCUACUGCUUUUUGCAGAGCAAAGCAAACCUUCAACAUUUCCUCAAAAGCCUGCUCAAUCACAUUGUGAGCACUGCUGACUGAAAGCAAGAGUAUCUCAAGGUUUCUCACCACGUCACUUGCUGUGCUCUGAACCACCUCAAGUCCUUCCCACCUGGACAAACCUUUUGCUUCCAGUUCCAGACUCCGGGACAACACUUUACAAAGUGACAGCAGCAGGCUACGCGUCAGAAGACGAGCAGACCUGGCCUGGUGACUGGGGUUUGGCCUGCUCCCGAGCACACACUACAAUGCUGGGGUAACAUGCUAUCACCACCGACGGUGGGUCGUAUUAGGGUUAACAGGACUGCCAGGUACGGCCAGCCCAGGCCAGGUGACGCGAGGCGAGGCGAGGCGAGGCGAGGCGAGGCGAGGCGAGGCGAGGCGAGGCGAGGCGAGGCGAGGCGAGGCGAGGCGAGGCGAGGCGAGGCGAGGCGAGGCGAGGCGAGGCGAGGCGAGGCGAGGCGAGGCGAGGCGAGGCGAGGCGAGGCGAGGCGAGGCGAGGCGAGGCGAGGCGAGGCGAGGCGAGGCGAGGCGAGGCGAGGCGACGCCGCAGCCGCCGCGUCACGCCAGUCCCGCCUCCCGCACCCGCCGC
rnacentral:lncRNA from 1 species